CUGCUGGCAAACAGGAGCAAAACGCAGACCUGCAGGGAUAGGAGCUACCCGCAAUAGCUUCCAGUGCUUCCUUGCCCAGCCCCAACACCCAGAGCUCCACUCCCCCUCCUGCCAACCUCAGAUCUCCGCAAACCUUCCCAAAUACCUACAGACUCCUCUGUCUUCUGUUCCAUUCAACACUCUUCCUCCAUUCUCCUUGAAACCAAGGCUACCUGAGCAUUCAGUCCAAACCCUCACAUGCUUCUCACUUCCCUUCCUUUGUCUCUCCCAUGUAGACAGAUGUUCAAUCCACCUUCAUCUGAGCUUCCCUACCCUUCACACCCCAAUAAGCUUUCUGUGCUUCUGUUCCCUUUCUUGUUUUACAUCCUCUGCUGUGAAUCCGUCUCCCUGCCUACCCCCAUCCCCUCAGGGGUUUUGCAGCUUCGGCUCCCCAUUCUGGAGCCUAGCUGCCAGGGCUGCCACCAGAGCUUCAGAGCAAAACCCUCAUUGUACUUCUGCCAGUUAUUAAAAUGCACUGAAACUUUAUUAACCACCAUAUACAGCCUGGCCCUGACCAUUCCCUCCCUCACCCUCUGCAAAUGUGUGCUUUUUCAUAUAACAAAAAUCCAUCCAAAUGCCAUUCUGAAGGCAGAAAAACAGCGUACACAAGGAAAAGCCGUAAGAUGUGUGCAAUCUGCAGAUUUGACGAAUGGCCUAAUCUCUUCUUGUGUAUACACCUUCAUGCCUUCAACAAUUAUGGAGCUUUGGAGCACCCAGCUUAUGUCAUGACAGAAGUGCACAAAAGGGCUCCACUGUCUGGAACAGCAACAGAAGACAGCUGACUGUUGGCCAUGACAGCCCACCUAUAGACUGGCCAUGCACUCCAACUUUGAGGCAAGGUGCAUCAGUCUUCCAAAGGGUAAACCACUGAAAGUACCUGUGAUACAACUAA
rnacentral:lncRNA from 1 species